rnacentral:rRNA from 1 species
GACGAACGCUGGCGGCGUGCUUAACACAUGCAAGUCGAACGGAAAGGCCCUGCUUUUGUGGGGUGCUCGAGUGGCGAACGGGUGAGUAACACGUGAGUAACCUGCCCUUGACUUUGGGAUAACUUCAGGAAACUGGGGCUAAUACCGGAUAGGAGCUCCUGCUGCAUGGUGGGGGUUGGAAAGCUUCGGCGGUUGGGGAUGGACUCGCGGCUUACCGGCUUGUUGGUGGGGUAGUGGCUUACCAAGGCUUUGACGGGUAGCCGGCCUGAGAGGGUGACCGGCCACAUUGGGACUGAGAUACGGCCCAGACUCCUACGGGAGGCAGCAGUGGGGAAUAUUGCACAAUGGGCGGGAGCCUGAUGCGGCAACGCCGCGUGCGGGAUGACGGCCUUCUGGUUGUGAACCGCUUUCGCCUGUGACGAAGCGUGAGUGACGGUAAUGGGUAAAGAAGCACCGGCUAACUACGUG